GGGGUGUAUUCGAGAACGGACAUUUGACGUAUCAUGAGGAUAUCCAGUUGAUGCGGAUAAAUCAUGACUUGUGGAAUCGCGUACAAUCACCACCUGUCAGUGAACUCUAUCCACACUAGAGGUGGGGGUGUUGUACUGAAAUAGUUUUUGGGACAGGUUUUUCCUAAUGGACGACGUUUUGUUUGUCGAGUAUUUAAAAGCACGGACUCUAUUUUUCGAAAUAUAACAAAUAUGAAGUUGCCAACACCUCGUACCUCCAUUCUUAUUUUUACUUUAAGUAAAAUAUUUUUUUGUUAACAGACAGUCGUCUGGGUGUCUGUUGGAUCAAAAAAUAAUGGAAAUAAUUUUUACAUUGUUAAUAUGUCAUUUGAUUAAUGGCCUUGGCUCAAAACGUCACGAUACGUCAGAUCAGACUAAUGAAAAGUCGAUAUUUGCAUAAAUAACCCUUAUUUGUAAGUCGCUUAAGUACGGUAAACACGUAAAUUGCCUAUUUGGGGUGGUACACGUAAAACUGGUAUUUUCAUAGAAACGUACUUUUGGUACGCAUUUUGCCAACGUGUCCCAGCUCUAGUUAGGAUCACAAUGUAUCGCAAGUUGUUACAUUUGACAACUUGUGAUCGUAACUGUCAAUGAAACUAGACUUUUUUGUCGAUGGGUAUGGCUGCCAUAUUUGGAUUUAUGACAUUCAAAAGGGGAUCCUACGGCAUAGAGUAAACUGCAUGCUCAUUUUUCUACAAUACUUUGAUUCUUCUACUGGACGCAAGAUGGAGUUAGCAGUCAAAUUUCGAUCUUGGCGUUAUAAAAGUAAACCGCAAGAACAUGACAUGCAGUUGCGUGGGUGUAGAUCUAUCAUGAAACGAACAUGUGACAAUUGUCUAUGAUUAAAAAAAUAAUUGACAAAUAAUAAUAUAAAGCGAUACAAUACUACUUCAAAAUGGCAAAAAGAAAACAGAUUUAUUAUAAACAUACUUACAAAUCAUAUAGGUAAAAAGUAUAAUUUUUAAACCAAUGGUCGUGGGUCCUAACCCCGGCUAUUAACAAUGACUUUGUUGUAACUAUCUUAACCAAUUGCUUUUCUGUGAAGUAAAAUAAUUAUCAUGAGGAAGAUGGAGUAGCCACAAUAAGGUAUAUAUUUUUCCCCUCUGGGUUAGAUGGCAGGGAGAGAUAGUGGAGAAAGCGGCAAAAUAAGCAUUUAUUGUGUUGUUAAAAGCCCUAAGCCAUGAGCCAGGGUAUGUGAGGUGCAUGAUUACUUGAUUAGGGGCUAAACUCUGGAAAACCGGACCUUCGGCGACUAGCUGCCAACUUUCCCAACUCACUUUUACAUCAGCUCCUUUGAUUAAUAAAUUCAGGUAAAAUUCGUAAGAACUAAGUGCCUGUGCCAUUCUCUACAUUGGACGCUAUGCCUAAUUAGUUGUUAUUGAUGUUGAAUUUUCAGUGGCAUAUAAGACACCGGUCGUAUAACGACUUAGAAAUUUGGAUGUUUUCAGUUUGAAUGAAUAGCAAACUGGAGAGUUUUUGAUUAAUUUAAAACUUAUUAUUUUAGGUAUUUUGUGACGAAAGGUCUUCACAGACAUCGACAGAAAAUCGGGAAAGCCCGGCCAGAUGCGUCAGACCACGCAAAAUGGAGGAUUCCAUGCCUACUUGUCUUCUUCUACCAUGUAUAGGAACGCAUGAAAAACGAAAGUUUAAAAGAUAAUAAAUUUACGAUGGCUGUGGGAAAGCAACAAUAAUUUAAAGCAUCGAUAUAAGAUAAUCAUCUAUAAACUGUUUUCGGCCAUAGCGAAUACGUUUACCGCUAAGAAUGUCUCAAAGUAAAAAAAAGAAGUUCAAUAUACUGGCAUUGGUUUCACCAAGAACGAUGAGCGAGAAGCGAUUAGAAAUAUAAAACUGGAAACGAGUUGGGGCGUCCGGCUGCGACCGAAGCGAGUUUUUGAAUGCGAGUUUGACGUUUUAAACACCGUAUUUAAGGUUAAUAAGGUCUACAAGCUUCGAGAAGGAGGUCAACCGCCGAAUCCAACUUGGUUGGGCAGCGUUCGGGAAACUACGUAAUGUCUUUUCGUCCGACAUACCUCAGUGCCUCAAGACGAAAGUCUUUAAUCAAUGUGUGUUACCAGUGAUGACUUACGGCUCCGAAACGUGGUCUUUCACUAUCGGCCCCAUCUCAAAAUUCAAAGUCGCUCAACGAGCUAUGGAGAGGGCUAUGCUCGGAGUUUCUCUGCGUGAUCGAAUCAGAAAUGAGGAGAUCCGUAGACGAACUAAAGUCACCGACAUAGCCCACCGGAUUAGCAGGCUGAAGUGGCAAUGGGCAGGCCACAUUGCGUGCAGAGAAGAUGGCCGAUGGAGUCGAAAAGUGCUCGAGUGGAGACCACGGACUAGCAAACGCAGCGUAGGACGUCCACCCACAAGAUGGACGGACGACCUUGUUAAGGCCGCCGGAAGACGCUGGAUGCGGAUCGCUUCCAACCGGUACGAGUGGAGGUCCAAGGGGGAGGCCUAUGUUCAGCAGUGGACGUCUUAUGGCUGAGAUGAUGAUGAUGAUGAUGAAGGUCUACAAGCAAAUAUCAGCCUUCGUGAAUUAAGUAUUGUAACCUUAGUCACAGAAUAGUAGUACAGUGGAACCUCGAUAGCACGGAUCUCAAGGGAAACG